GAGGGGUGAGUAAUGUUUGGGAAACUGCCUGAUGGAGGGGGAUAACUACGGGAAACGGUUGCUAAUACCGUGCAAUGUCGCAGACCAAUUUGGGGGACCUUCGGGCCUCUGGCCGGCACAUGUGCCCAGAUGGGAUUAGAUGGACCGUGGGGUAACGGCUCACCUGGGGAGGUAUCCCUACCUGGUGCCACAGGAUGACCACCCACCCUGGAGGUGAAACGCGGUCCAGACUCCUAAGGGAGGCCCCAGUGGGGAAUAUUGCGCAAUGGGCGGAAACCUGAUGCAACCAUGCAACGGGUGUAAAAAAGGCCUUCGGGUUGUAAAGAAUUUUUUCCGGGGAGGAAGGCCUUUUAGGUUAAAAACCUUGGGAAUUGACUUUCCCCGCAAAAAAAGCACCGUAUAUACUCCGUGCCCCACGCCGCGGUAAUACGCGAGGGUGCCGCGCGUAAUACCGUGAAUUACGGGGCGUUAAAGCGCAUUUAUG
rnacentral:rRNA from 1 species